GGAUAAACAGUGCAGGUACGUAGAGAAAAGCACAUCCACCCAAGUUCUCAGCUCAGCACCAGAAACACAUUCAUAUAUACUUCAAGCUGAGUACUGAGGGAUACCUGGCUAUUUCAAGAGAAGAUACAACUCUACUAAUUUUCCUCCCGAAUCCGUGGCUGUCCGUGUACCACCCGUUGACCCUCCCGACCGCGUGGCUGACUGGGAGCUGCGGCCUCUGCCCAGCAUCGCGGGAGAUGUCCCGCGCUAACCCGGGAUGAAACCCAGAUUCCAGAUUCGAAGUAUGGUGUCUACUGAACGUGUGUUCCUUUCCCACGACCGUAAAGUAAAAAAAACUGUAAU